rnacentral:rRNA from 2 species
UUGACCUCAAAUCGGGUGAGACUACCCGCUGAACUUAAGCAUAUCAAUAAGCGGAGGAAAAGAAACUAACAAGGAUUCCCCUAGUAACUGCGAGUGAAGCGGGAAAAGCUCAAAUUUAAAAUCUGGUGGUCUUUGGCCAUCCGAGUUGUAAUUUAGAGAAGCGUCUUCCGCGCUGGACCGUGCACAAGUCUCCUGGAAUGGAGCGUCAUAGAGGGUGAGAAUCCCGUCUUUGGCAUGGACACACCAGGGCUUUUGUGAUGCGCUCUCGAAGAGUCGAGUUGUUUGGGAAUGCAGCUCAAAAUGGGUGGUGAACUCCAUCUAAAGCUAAAUAUUGGCGAGAGACCGAUAGCGAACAAGUACCGUGAGGGAAAGAUGAAAAGCACUUUGGAAAGAGAGUGAAACAGUACGUGAAAUUGUUGAAAGGGAAACGCUUGAAGUCAGUCACGUCGACCGAGACUCAACCUUGCCUCGGCUUGGUGUACUUCUCGGCUGACGGGUCAGCAUCAAUUUUGCCCCUUGGAUAAUGACGAGGGAAAUGUGACACCUUUAUGGUGUGUUAUAGUCUCUCGUCGCAUGCAAGGGUUGGGAUUGAGGAACUCAGCACGC